GUAUCCCUCACUUUCUCUCUCUCUCGUAAACCAUUUUUUCUCAUAUGUGCGGCAACCAUUUCUCCUUCACUGUUCUGGUUCAUAAUUUUCUUCUUUCUUCACCAAGAAUCAAACAAUGCUCCACCAUAAAAAUACAUACGGUUGAAGGAAAAGUUUAUCAUUCAAGUGAAAGAGAUUUUGGAAUAUUUUGAGGGCUAGGGUUUGUGCUCUAAGGAAGGAGAAGAGUACCCACUCUUACAGAACGGCUUAUUUGGCUUAUUGAGCUUCAGAAGCUUUUGGGUGAAAGACACUCAAGGAUCGAACAAAUUCCCCAAACUCGAUCUGGCCACUGCCAUUGACAUCAAAAAGAUCAAACAUCUGCAUGGAGUCAAAAUUUAAUGAAGAAGAUAAGAAUUCAUGACCAUGAUCGGCAAGCUUUAAAACAACACCUCUACAUGUCAGAUUGAUAGGUACUCACAUAUCACAUGGUUUAGUGAGUUAAGUGAGGGACUUAUUACAUAGUUAGAUAGUCAGUUAGUAGGUUAGUUAGGCUUGUGCCUAUAAAUAAGAGGGGGUUAGAGAACAUUAAUCAUCUUUUGUAUCAUUUGGGUAUUGGGAUUAGGAAGAGGGUGUGGACUCUCACUUGUAUUUUGCUCUAGUUCCCAAUUUGGGAAUUAGGGAUUUGUGAGAAAUAAUAACAGAUUUCAGGGUGGUUCUAUCA